GAGAUUGACGGGCCUCUGGGGCCGGCUGGCCCCAGAAGACCAUCACGGAGGCCGAGCUCAGAGUAAAGAUGGAGAUCGCGGGUUGCUGCAUUCUGAAGGUGGCCCAGAGAUGCUGUAUCCAAGCAACUGAAAAGAUCCUUUUGGCCCAUCACCAAGGCUACCAGCCCCUACACCCCCUUGACCAAGCCCGACACAACUUCUAUGCCAAUGUUGUGUGCCCACACCUGCCCUGAUGAUCCCCUCUUUUAGACGCCACCCCAGGUCUACGCCCAUUUCAGCAUGAAGAAGUUACAGAAGAUGAGAACUUCGCCCCAUUCCCUAGGCACUGGAAGGGUGUGGCAAAAAGAAAAAGGGGGGAAAUGAGGAAGGGUGGCCAUGGGCAAAUACAGGGGGACGGCCCAAAAAAAGCGAGUGGGCGGUCGGUCUAGGGCGGGUGUACGGACUAUGUGAGAGAACAUUAAGGAGGAGCUUCAAGCCCCAAACCCCCAGCACCUAACAGUGAAUAACGGUUUGUCAUCAAAAGGCAAGCUGACCUGGAGUGUCCAUAAACACUCAGGCCAGUCAGGAAGGGACACAAUGCCUACGGGCAUGUCAAUAAAGUAUAAAAGGAGAAGAACAAAGGACUUAGCAUGCUUCCCUUCCCUCGAGAGAUCGCCUGCCACUUUAAAUUCCUGGCGUUAUAAUUGAGACAGGGGGCUGGGAAUUGGGAGUGAAAUAAACUUGGUUUGGCCUUGUUUA